rnacentral:rRNA from 1 species
GUAGGGAAUAUUGGGCAAUGGUCGGAAGACUGACCCAGCCAUGCCGCGUGCAGGAAGACGGCCCUCUGGGUUGUAAACUGCUUUUAUCUGGGAAGAAAAAGGCCAUGCGUGGCAAAUUGCCGGUACCAGAUGAAUAAGCACCGGCUAACUCCGUGCCAGCAGCCGCGGUAAUACGGAGGGUGCGAGCGUUGUCCGGAUUUAUUGGGUUUAAAGGGUGCGUAGGCGGCUGAUUAAGUCAGCGGUGAAAGACUUCGGCUUAACCGGAUCAGUGCCGUUGAUACUGGUUGGCUUGAGUGUCGGAGGGGUACAUGGAAUUGAUGGUGUAGCGGUGAAAUGCAUAGAUACCAUCAGGAACACCGAUAGCGAAGGCAUUGUACUGGCCGACAACUGACGCUGAUGCACGAAAGUGUGGGGAUCGAACAGGAUUAGAAACCCUUGUAGUCC